UUGCCACAAAUGAGCUUCCUGUUGUUUACUGCUCUCUGGUCCUUGUCAGCUGCUGCUAUUGAUCAGCUCUCAGAUGUCACAGUAAUGAAAGGGGGUCAAACUACACUGACAUGUUCUCAAAAGGAAACCAGCCAUACAUAUAUGUAUUGGUACAAGCAAGAGAAGAGGAAGGCUGCCCAUUCACCGUUGCAGCUGGUGAUUUUCACAUAUGAAGGUACUGGAGGAGACUCUGCCAUCGAGAAACCCUUUAACAGCCGCUUCAAGACAACAGGGAUGAAGAGUAAUAGCUUGCCUCUGUCUCUGGAGGACGCCCAGGUGGAAGACACGGGCACCUACUACUGUGCCUCACAAGAUUACACAGCCGAGCAAACGCUGAGGAAGCCGAGCAGAAACCUCUUCACAGGAAAACCUCUUGUGGCAGAUCCUUCCCAAUAG